ACCCUCUUAGGGUCACACCGGAGAGUUUGCAGUCCUCUUCCAGUCUCGGCUACAGGAGGGAGAGUCAAGCAGAGCCUACCCAUUCCAUUCCUAGCUUGGGCAGUGACUAGUGAGUGGAAGGCAAUCUGCUACAAGU